AGCGCAGGCGGAAUGGUAAGUUGGACGUGAAAUCUAUGGGCUCAACCCAUAGCGUGCGUUCAAACUAUUGUUCUUGAGUGAUGUAGAGGUAGGCGGAAUUCCCGGUGUAGCGGUGGAAUGCGUAGAUAUCGGGAGGAACACCAGUGGCGAAGGCGGCCUACUGGGCAUCAACUGACGCUGAGGCUCGAAAGUAUGGGAGCAAACA
rnacentral:rRNA from 1 species